UAGGGAAUCUUGCGCAAUGGGCGAAAGCCUGACGCAGCGACGCCGCGUGAGGGAAGAAGGCCUUCGGGUUGUAAACCUCUUUCAGGAGGGACGAAGCCACUCGGGUUAAUAGCCUAGAGGGUGACGGUACCUCCAGAAGAAGCCCCGGCUAACUACGUGCCAGCAGCCGCGGUAAUACGUAGGGGGCAAGCGUUGUCCGGAUUUAUUGGGCGUAAAGAGCGUGUAGGCGGCCAUACAGGUCAGCUGUGAAAACUCGAGGCUCAACCUCGAGACGUCGGUUGAAACCGUAUGGCUAGAGUCCGGAAGAGGAGAGUGGAAUUCCCGGUGUAGCGGUGAAAUGCGCAGAUAUCGGGAAGAACACCCGUGGCGAAGGCGGCUCUCUGGGACGGUACUGACGCUGAGACGCGAAAGCGUGGGGAGCGAACAGGAUUAGAUACCCCCGUAGUCC
rnacentral:rRNA from 1 species